AACGCGAAGAACCUUACCCAGGCUCGAAAUGUAAUGGACGAUAUCAGAGAUGAUAUUUUCCGCAAGGACUAUUAUAUAGGUGCUGCAUGGCUGUCGUCAGCUCGUGCCGUGAGGUGUUGGGUUAAGUCCCGCAACGAGCGCAACCCUUAUCAUUAGUUGCCAACACGCGAGGUGGGGACUCUAAUGAGACUGCCUGGGUUAACCAGGAGGAAGGUGAGGAUGACGUCAAGUCCGCAUGGCCUUUAUGUCUGGGGCUACACACGUGCUACAAUGGUCGGUACAGAAGGCAGCAAGACCGUAAGGUGGAGCAAAUCCGUAAAGCCGAUCACAGUUCAGAUUGUAGUCUGCAACUCGACUACAUGAAGUUGGAAUUGCUAGUAAUGACGUGUCAGCAACAACGUCGUGAAUACGUUCCCGGGCCUUGUA
rnacentral:rRNA from 1 species